UCUCCGUAGGUGAACCUGCGGAGGGAUCAUUACCGAGUUCAUGCCCUUACGGGUAGAUCUCCCACCCUAUGUCAUUAUUACCUUUGUUGCUUUGGCGGGCCGUCAGAUCUCGGUCAGGCUACCGGCUCCGGCUGGUAAGCGCCCGCCAGAGGACCCCAAACUCUGAAUAUUAGUGUCGUCUGAGUACUAUAUAAUAGUUAAAACUUUCAACAACGGAUCUCUUGGUUCUGGCAUCGAUGAAGAACGCAGC
rnacentral:misc_RNA from 1 species